rnacentral:rRNA from 1 species
UGAACGCUAGCUACAGGCUUAACACAUGCAAGUCGAGGGGCAGCGGGAUUGAAGCUUGCUUCAAUUGCCGGCGACCGGCGCACGGGUGAGUAACGCGUAUCCAACCUUCCGUACACUCAGGGAUAGCCUUUCGAAAGAAAGAUUAAUACCUGAUGGUAUGAUGAGAUUGCAUGAUAGCAUCAUUAAAGAUUUAUCGGUGUACGAUGGGGAUGCGUUCCAUUAGGUAGUAGGCGGGGUAACGGCCCACCUAGCCAACGAUGGAUAGGGGUUCUGAGAGGAAGGUCCCCCACAUUGGAACUGAGACACGGUCCAAACUCCUACGGGAGGCAGCAGUGAGGAAUAUUGGUCAAUGGACGAGAGUCUGAACCAGCCAAGUAGCGUGAAGGAUGAAGGUCCUACGGAUUGUAAACUUCUUUUAUAAGGGAAUAAACCCUCCCACGUGUGGGAGCUUGUAUGUACCUUAUGAAUAAGCAUCGGCUAACUCCGUGCCAGCAGCCGCGGUAAUACGGAGGAUGCGAGCGUUAUCCGGAUUUAUUGGGUUUAAAGGGAGCGCAGACGGGUCGUUAAGUCAGCUGUGAAAGUUUGGGGCUCAACCUUGAAAUUGCAGUUGAUACUGGCGUCCUUGAGUGCGGUUGAGGUGUGCGGAAUUCGUGGUGUAGCGGUGAAAUGCUUAGAUAUCACGAAGAACUCCGAUUGCGAAGGCAGCACACUAAUCCGUAACUGACGUUCAUGCUCGAAAGUGUGGGUAUCAAACAGGAUUAGAUACCCUGGUAGUCCACACGGUAAACGAUGGAUACUCGCUGUUGGCGAUAUACUGUCAGCGGCUUAGCGAAAGCGUUAAGUAUCCCACCUGGGGAGUACGCCGGCAACGGUGAAACUCAAAGGAAUUGACGGA